rnacentral:lncRNA from 1 species
AUGGCUUUAUGCCAUAUAUUGUCUCACUUAUACCACAAAAUUUUGGUACACCUCCAAAUUCUCUUAGCUAUGUUCCUUUUUCUCUGUUUUUUUCUUUUUUUCUUUUUUUCAUGGUUAAGAAGGCAUACAGAUUACGUAUUGAGGAACCAUAUUCAUUCAGAUAAAGCCACAGACACGAAUUCUCAUGGAAGCCUGUCAAACAUAAACAGGUUGUAGACUCUUGUGCUGGUUGCAGGC